GGACAUUGGUGACAGGUGGUGCAUGGUUGUCGUCAGCUCGUGUCGUGAGAUGUUGGGUUAAGUCCCGCAACGAGCGCAACCCUUGAUCUUAGUUGCCAUCAUUUAGUUGGGCACUCUAAGGUGACUGCCGGUGACAAACCGGAGGAAGGUGGGGAUGACGUCAAAUCAUCAUGCCCCUUAUGACCUGGGCUACACACGUGCUACAAUGGACGAUACAAAGAGUCGCUAACUCGCGAGGGUAUGCUAAUCUCAUAAAAUCGUUCUCAGUUCGGAUUGUAGGCUGCAACUCGCCUACAUGAAGCCGGAAUCGCUAGUAAUCGUGGAUCAGCAUGCCACGGUGAAUACGUUCCCGGGCCUUGUACACACCGCCCGUCACACCACGAGAGUUUGUAACACCCGAAGUCGGUGAGGUAACCUUUAUGGGGCC
rnacentral:rRNA from 1 species